GGUGCAGGUGAAAUUACAUUAUUGACAGUUGUGACCUGCCUGUGUCUGGGUCAAUGAUGACAACAUUAAGUCAAGAACAGAAUGAUGACAUAAAAAUCAUGCUCAAUAGGAUUACGCUGAGGCCCAAGCAGGGAGCCAGGGUUACAAGCACAACUUAGUCUCUUUGAGGACCACUUGCGGGACUCAUCUGAGCUGCUCUGAUGACCUUGUGCUCUUUUCCCUCUGUGGGAACCUGGACAAUCUUAGUGCAACUGUGCUGGCAAACACUGCCUGCCAAUUAGCACCUAGUCUCGUAAUCUGCUUGUGUGCAAGUCUGCAACACCAACCCCGUCAUCAUUACCCUCUCUGCUCUGAUGUCUUGCAGUCACCUGGCAUCACCCCUGCGGUCCAGUGGAUCACUAUUCCCAGGUGAGUGAAAUGAUCAUGAAAUGGAUUGAACUUCUUAUAAGAUAUUCCUCAGUAUUUUGACCAAUAAUUUCAGCCCAUCAAAGGUUUCUUAAUUAAAAAUAAUGCAAUACCAGUCAGAAAUGAAUUUCACUUCUCAGUAUGAUCUGUCCCUUUGAAUUGCACUAUUAAAAAUGUAGAGAAAUUCCUUUCUACCUUUAGUUCAUACAGCCAUAAAAUUGAAUUUCUUGGAAGAGAUCCUAGAUGAUACUGUGUACACAAAUGGAGGGAUCUGGAAUAUGAACAUACCUUUUGAAUUUCGAGAAAAUUCAGUCCACACUCAGGCUCACAAAUCGAAGCUGGUGCACAGAGAUCGGUUUCCAAUGGCAAGGGGAACCCAGGAAUAAGACUUUAGUUUAGAGUUGUAGAAAUUGUCGAUAAAUUUUCUGCAUCAAAAGACACACCAAGGAUUAUUCGCCCAAAGAGAGCUUGACGAAAUUUUUGACGUAACUCUCAGGCCACAGGGAACCUAGCCAGUACGGGAGAUUGAAGUUGAUGGUGUGGCUAUGGCUACCAAUUCCCUUCCAAGUAUACUCACACUGCUUCAUCAUUGAUCUUACUAAAGUUUACUUCAGUAUUCAUCAGAAAACAAAUGCUAUCAAGGAGAUGGUUUUUGGAGCUGUUGGGACAGAAGAACGUAAUGUCAAUGGGAUACUUGCAAACACCAACUGAUCUAGUCACAGGAAUUUUGGUCACAUUCUCAGUUUGAUCACAUGGCAAUCACUGAGUGCUAACGCUCAGGGAUUCAUGGCCAAAAUACUUGUGGCUUUCUUAUGGGCAAAUGAUUCUCUUCAGCAUUCACAUACCAGCUGUGGGAACUGAUUGUUACCAUGCAGUAUGGAAAUGGGGAGGAAUGAACAUAGCCUAGCACAUAAAAUUUGAAACGCACAAGUCUCAUGAAAAUUUGAUUAAAGUAUAUGUAUCUGUUCCUGUAUUGUCCUUCCAAUAUUACUCAGGGAACUUAACCUUUGCCUUGGUUUCUGACAAUGUUUAGCAAUUGAAAGUUUUGAUCGGUGUAUAUGGCAAAGAGCAUGUGUCAUCCCCUUCAUCAAUGAUUUGGUUUUGGGUACCUAUUGACCUAUUGAUCGCUUAGAGAAGUAACUUUCCAUGUGUUGGGAAUAUCAGCAUGGAAGAAGAUGUUGCAAGAGUGAUUCUGCUAAGUGGCAUCAUACAUUAGACUUCUUAAACAGCCUCCUUAAAAUUAAUAUGAUUGUAUGAACUGAAGGGAUACAAUUGCCCUCACAUCUUGCUCUUUCCUUUUUAGAGAGGACAGUCUUCAAAUUCAAGCUAGGUCUACCCUUAUUCCACACAAGAGCGCUGUGCCCUUGUACCCUCUGCACUUGCAAGUGAGGAUUCAAAUUCUGAGGCAGUGUUGGCAGCCCAGGUAAGCCAUGGUGCAGGUGAAAUUACAUUAUUGACAGUUGUGUCCUGCCUGUGUCUGGGAAAAUGAUGAAAACAGAAAGUCAAGAACAGAAUGAUGACAUAAAAAUCAUGCUCAAUAGGAUUACGCUGAGGCCCAACCAGGGAGCCAGGGUUACAAGCACUACUUACUCUCUUUGAGGACCACUUGCGGGACUCAUCUGAGCUGCUCUGAUGACCUUGUGCUCUUUUCCCUCUGUGGGAACCUGGACAAUCUUAGUGCAACUGUGCUGGCAAACACUGCCUGCCAACUAGCACCUAAUCUCAUAAUAGCUUGUGUGCAAGUCUGCAACACCAACCCUGUCAUCAUUACCCUCUCUGCUCUGAUGUCUUGCAGUCACCUGGCAUCACCCCUGCGGUCCAGUGGAUCACUAUUCCCAGGUGAGUGAAAUGAACACGAUUAAUGUAUUGAACUUCCUAUAAGAUAUUCCUCAGUAUUUUGACCAAUAUUUCAGCCCAUCAAAGGUUUCUUAAUUAAAAAUAAUGCAAUCCCAGUCAGAAAUGAAUUUCACUUCUCAGUAUGUUUUGUCCCUUUGAACUGCACUAUUAAAAAUGUAGAGAAAUUCCUUUCUACCUGUAGUUUAUACAGUCAUAAAAUUGAAUAUCUUGGAAGAGAUCCUAGAUGAUACUAUCUACACAAAUGGAGGAAUCUGGAAUAUGAAUAUACCUUUUGAAUUUGGAGAAAUUUCAGUCCACACACAGGCUCACAAAUCAAAGCUGGUGCACAGAGAUGGAUUUCCAAUGGCAAGGGGAACCCAGGAAUAAGCAUUUAGUUUAGAGGUGAAGAAAUUGGCGAUAAAUUUUCUGCAUCAAAAGACACUCCAAGAAUUAUUGCCCCAAAGAGAGCUUCGCGAAAUUUUUCAGGAAACUCUCAGGCCACAGGGAACCUAGCCAGUAGGGUAGAUUGAAGUUGAAGGUGUGGCUUUGGCUUCCAAUUCCCUUCUAUGUGUCAUCACACAGCUUCAUCCUUGAUCUUACUAAAAUUUACUUCAGUAUUCAUCAGAAAACAAGUGCUAUCAAGGAGAUGGUUUCUGGUGCUAUUGGGACAGAGGAACGUGAUGUCAAUGGGAUACUUGCAAACACCAACUGAUCUAGUCACACGAAUUUUGGUCACAUUCUGAGUUUCAUCACAUGGCAAUCACUGAGUGCUAACUCUAAGGGAUUCAUGGCCAAAAUACUUGUUGCUUUCUUCUGGGCAGCAGAUUCUCUUCAGCAUUCACUUACCAGCUGUGGGAACUGAUUGUUACCAUGCAGUAUGGAAAUGGGGAGGAAUGAACAUAGCCUAGCACAUAAAAUCUGAAAUGCACAAGUCUCAUGAAAAUUUGAUUAAAGUAUACGUAACUGUUCGUGUAUUGUCCUUCCAAUAUUACUCAGGUAAAUUCACCUUUGCCUUGGAUUCUGACAAUGUGUAGCAAUUGAAACAUUUGAUCGGUGUAUAUGACAAAGAGCAUGUGUCAUCCCCUUCAUCAAUGAUUUGGUUUUGGGUACCUAUUGACCUAUUGAUCGCUUAGGGAAGUAACUUUCCAUGUGUUGGGAAUGUCAGCAUGGAAGUGGAUGUUGCAAGAGGGAUUCUGCUAAGUGGCAUCAUACAUUAGACUUCUUAAACAGCCUCCUUAAAAUUAAUAUGAUCGUAUGAACUGAAGGGAUACAAUUGCCCUCACAUCUUGCUCUUUGCUUUUUAGAGAGGACAGUCUUCAAAUUCAAGCUAGGUCUACCCAUAUUCCACACAAGAGCGCUGUGCCCUUGUACCCUCUGCACUUGCAAGUGAGGAUUCAAAUUCUGAGGCAGUGUUGGCAGCCAAGUCACCUGGCAUCACCCCUUCGGUCCAGUGGAUCACUAUUCCCAGGUGAGUGAAAUCAUCACGAUUAAUGGAUUGAACUUCCUAUAAGAUAUUCCUCAGUAUCUUGACCAAUAAUUACAGCCCAUCAAAGGUUUCUAAUUAAAAAUAAUGCAAUAGCAGUCAGAAAUGAAUUUCACUUCUCAGUAUGUUUUGUCCCUUUGAACUGCACUAUUAAAAAUGUAGAGAAAUUCCUUUCUACCUGUAGUUUAUACAGUCAUAAAAUUGAAUAUCUUGGAAGAGAUCCUAGAUGAUACUAUCUAAACAAAUGGAGGGAUCUGGAAUAUGAAUAUACCUUUGAAUUUGGAGAAAUUUCAGUCCACACACAUGCUCACAAAUCCAAGUUGGUGCACAGAGAUCGAUUUCCAAUGGCAAGGGGAACCCAGGAAUAAUACUAUAGUUUAGAGAUGUAGAAAUUGGCGACAAAGUUUCUGCAUCAAAAGACACUCCAAGAAUUAUUCCCCCAAAAAGAGCUUGGCGAAAUUUUUCACGUAACUCUCAGGCCACAGGGAACCUAGCCAGUAGGGGACAUUGAAGUUGCAGGUGUGGCUUGGCUACCUAUUCACAUCCAUGAGUCAUCACACUGCUUCAUCCUUGAUCUUACUAAAGUUUACUUCAGUAUUCAUCAGAAAACAAAUGCUAUCAAGGAGAUGGUUUCUGGAGCUCUUGGGACAGAGGAACGUGAUGUCAAUGGGAUACUUGCAAACACCAACUGAUCUAGUCACACGAAUUUUGGUCACAUUCUGAGUUUCAUCACAUGGCAAUCACUGAGUGCUAACGCUCAGGGAUUCAUGGCCAAAACACUUGUUGCUUUCUUCUGGGCAACAGAUUCUCUUCAGCAUUCACUUACCAGCUGUGGGAACUGAUUGUUACCAUGCAGUAUGGAAAUGGGGAGGAAUGAACAUAGCCUAGCACAUAAAAUCUGAAAUGCACAAGUCUCAUGAAAAUUUGAUUAAAGUAUACAUAACUGUUCGUGUAUUGUCCUUCCAAUAUUACUCAGGUAAAUUAAACUUUGCCGUGGUUUCUGACAAUGUUAACAAUUGAAAGAUUUGAUUGGUGUAUAUGACAAAGAGCAUGUGUCAUCCCCUUCAUCAAUGAUUUGGUUUUGGGUACCUAUUGACCUAUUGAUCGCUUAGGGAAGUAACUUUCCAUGUGUUGGGAAUGUCAGCAUGGAAGUGAAAGUUGCAAGAGUGAUUCUGCUAAGUGGCAUCAUACAUUAGACUUCUUAAACAGCCUCCUUAAAAUUAAUAUGAUUGUAUAAAUUGAAGGGAUACAAUUGCCCUCACAUCUUGCUCUUUCCUUUUUAGAGAGGACAGUCUUCAAAUUCAAGCUAGGUCUACCCUUAUUCCACACAAGAGCGCUGUGCCCUUGUACCCUCUGCACUUGCAAGUGAGGAUUCAAAUUCUGAAGCAGUGUUGGCAGCCCAGGUAAGCCAUGGUGCAGGUGAAAUUACAUUAUUGACAGUUGUGUCCUGCCUGUGUCUGGGUCAAUGAUGACAACAGAAAGUCAAGAACAGAAUGAUGACAUAAAAAUCAUGCUCAAUAGGAUUAUGCUGAGGCCCAAACCAGGAGCCAGGGUUACAAGCACUACUUAGUCUCUUUGAGGACCACUUGCGGGACUCAUCUGAGCUGCUCUGAUGACCUUGUGCUCUUUUCCCUCUGUGGGAACCUGGACAAUCUUAGUGCAACUGUGCUGGCAAACACUGCCUGCCAACUAGCACCUAACCUCAUAAUCUGUUUGUGUGCAAGUCUGCAACACCAACCCUGUCAUCAUUACCCUCUCUGCUCUGAUGUCUUGCAGUCACCUGGCAUCACCCCUGCGGUCCAGUGGAUCACUAUUCCCAGGUGAGUGAAAUGAUCACGAUUAAUGUAUUGAACUUCCUAUAAGAUAUUCCUCAGUAUUUUGACCAAUAUUUCAGCCCAUCAAAGGUUUCUUAAUUAAAAAUAAUGCAAUCCCAGUCUGAAAUGAAUUUCACUUCUCAGUAUUUUUUGUCCCUUUGAACUGCACUAUUAAAAAUGUAGAGAAAUUCCUUUCUACCUGUAGUUCAUACAGUCAUAAAAUUGAAUAUCUUGGAAGAGAUCCUAGAUGAUACUAUCUACACAAAUGGAGGGAUCUGGAAUAUGAAUAUACCUUUUGAAUUUGGAGAAAUUUCAGUCCACACAAAGGCUCACAAAUCAAAGCUGGUGCACAGAGAUGGAUUUCCAAUGACAAGGGGAACCCAGGAAUAAGACUUUAGUUUAGAGAUGAAGAAAUUGGCGAUAAAUUUUCUGCAUCAAAAGACACUCCAAGAAUUAUUGCCCCAAAGAGAGCUUCGCGAAAUUUUUCACGUAACUCUCAGGCCACAGGGAACCUAGCCAGUAGGGUAGAUUGAAGUUGAAGGUGUGGCUUUGGCUACCAAAUCCCUUCUAUGUGUCAUCACACAGCUUCAUUCUUGAUCUUACUAAAAUUUACUUCAGCAUUCUUCAGAAAACAAAUGCUAUCAAGGAGAUGGUUUCUGGAGCUCUUGGGACAGGAGCGUGAUGUCAAUGGGAUACUUGCAAACACCAACUGAUCUAGUCACACGAAUUUUGGUCACAUUCUGAGUUUCAUCACAUGGCAAUCACUGAGUGCUAACGCUCAGUGAUUCAUGGCCAAAAUACUUGUUGCUUUCUUCUGGGCAACAGAUUCUCUUCAGCAUUCACUUACCAGCUGUGGGAACUGAUUGUUACCAUGCAGUAUGGAAAUGGGGAGGAAUGAACAUAGCCUAGCACAUAAAAUCUGAAAUGCACAAGUCUCAUGAAAAUUGGAUUAAAGUAUACGUAACUGUUCGUGUAUUGUCCUUCCAAUAUUACUCAGGUAAAUUCACCUUUGCCUUGGUUUCUGACAAUGUUUAGCAAUUGAAAGAUUUGAUCGGUGUAUAUGACAAAGAGCAUGUGUCAUCCCCUUCAUCAAUGAUUUGGUUUUGGGUACCUAUUGACCUAUUGAUCGCUUAGGGAAGUAACUUUCCAUGUGUUGGGAAUGUCAGCAUGGAAGUGGAUGUUGCAAGAGGGAUUCUGCUAAGUGGCAUCAUACAUUAGACUUCUUAAACAGCCUCUUUUAAAUUAAUAUGAUCGUAUGAACUGAAGGGAUACAAUUGCCCUCACAUCUUGCUCUUUCCUUUUUAGAGAGGACAGUCUUCAAAUUCAAGCUAGGUCUACCCUCAUUCCACACAAGAGCGCUGUGCCCUUGUACCCUCUGCACUUGCAAGUGAGGAUUCAAAUUCUGAGGCAGUGUUGGCAGCCCAGUCACCUGGCAUCAUCACUGCGGUCCACUGGAUCACUAUUCCCAGGCAACAGAUUCUCUUCAGCAUUCACUUACCAGCUGUGGGAACUGAUUGUUACCAUGCAGUAUGGAAAUGAGGAGGAAUGAACAUAGCCUAGCACAUAAAGUCUGAAAUGCACAAGUCUCAUGAAAAUUUGAUUAAAGUAUACGUAACUGUUCGUGUAUUGUCCUUCCAAUAUUACUCAGGUAAAUUCACCUUUGCCUUGGUUUCUGACAAUGUUUAGCGAUUGAAAGAUUUGAUCGGUGUAUAUGACAAAGAGCAUGUGUCAUCCCCUUCAUCAAUGAUUUGGUUUUGGGUACCUAUUGACCUAUUGAUCGCUUAGGGAAGUAACUUUCCAUGUGUUGGGAAUGUCAGCAUGGAAGUGGAUGUUGCAAGAGUGAUUCUGCUAAGUGGCAUCAUACAUUAGACUUCUUAAACAGCCUCCUUAAAAUUAAUAUGAUUGUAUGAACUGAAGGGAUACAAUUGCCCUCACAUCUUGCUCUUUCCUUUUAGAGAGGACAGUCUUCAAAUUCAAGCUAGGUCUACCCUUAUUCCACACAAGAGCGCUGUGCCCUUGUACCCUCUGCACUUGCAAGUGAGGAUUCAAAUUCUGAGGCAGUGUUGGCAGCCAAGGUAAGCAAUGGUGCAGGUGAAAUUACUUUAUUGACAGUUGUGUCCUGCCUGUGUCUGGGUCAAUGAUGACAACAUUAAGUCAAGAACAGAAUGAUGACAUAAAAAUCAUGCUCAAUAGGAUUACGCUGAGGCCCAACCAGGGAGCCAGGGUUACAAGCACUACUUAGUCUCUUUGAGGACCACUUGCGGGACUCAUCUGAGCUGCUCUGAUGACCUUGUGCUCUUUUCCCUCUGUGGGAACCUGGACAAUCUUAGUGCAACUGUGCUGGCAAACACUGCCUGCCAACUAGCACCUAAUCUCAUAAUCUGCUUGUGUGCAAGUCUGCAACACCAACCCUGUCUUCAUUACCCUCUCUGCUCUGAUGUCUUGCAGUCACCUGGCAUCACCCUUGAGGUCCAGUGGAUCACUAUUCCCAGGUGAGUGAAAUGAUCACGAUUAAUGGAUUGAACUUCCUAUAAGAUAUUCCUCAGUAUUUUGACCAAUAAUUUCAGCCCAUCAAAGGUUUCUUAAUUAAAAAUAAUGCAAUCCCAGUCAGAAAUGAAUUUCACUUCUCAGUAUGUUUUGUCCCUUUGAACUGCACUAUUAAAAAUGUAGAGAAAUUC